GUGGAGAGUAGUAACUAUGCAUCAGAAAUGGAGAAUACUUGCCUCCCAUCUUCCCUCUCUAAACCAUGGGCAAACAGUUCCCUAAGAGCCUUAAAAGAAGAGAAGGAGAUCCACAGAGUUGACUUAACCCCUUAGACGGAUACAAUUAAACUAGGGAGGCAACUUCCUGAGGGAUCUGCAAGCUCCAGAUCUUUCUUACGCACCCCAUUAAAUUGCCCCUUCCCUUGGAGUUUGUGUUGGGCUUGUUGCAGGGAAAUCUGCUUCUUCAUUUCUUCCCAGGCCUUGGUAGGAUCAUUUUCCAUAUUAACCAGAGCACCAUACAUUGCUGAGAAUGCCUCUCCCACAGACUUGUUUUGACAACCAGGAGGGAGGGUGGGAGGCCUGCAGGAUGGCCUGUGUGGCAGGUAACUCAAGAGGACGUAGGAAAGCUAGUGCCAAAGCAACUGCUGAUUGUGUUCGAUUGUUUUCAGAUGCCUCUAAGGCUGGGCUUUUCAGGGAGCAGCAUUUAUCAAAGGGGAGGCACCUGGCUCUCUAAUUACCUCCCCCUUGUCAGAGGUGUGUUCAGAGGCUUCUGUGCGCUGAUAGUGACCUGCUAACCGUCGUGCCUCUGGUCAAAGAGCGUGAUCAAGGAUCUGGGUUACAAAGACCUCAGCCCUGAUGGGACUCCAUGCGGAACCCAAUCCUCAGCUCUUCCAGCCAUUGCCAAGGACAGGUAAUUAUUAGCUAUCAGAUCCCUUUAGCUAAAUUUCAGACUAAAGGCAAUGAGCAAAGGUACUCAACAUAAUUAACCACCAGAGAAAUGCAGAUCAAAACCACCGUGAGAUAUCGUUACACAUCCAUCAGAGUGGCUUAAACUUAAAGAGACCGACAUACUCAAGUGCUGACAAGGAUGUAGAACAGCACGGAACACUCAUGCACUGCUGGUUUGAGUGUAAAUUGGUACAACCACUUGGGAAAACUGUUGGUGACAUCUACUAAAGCUAAAAGUAAUCCAAGAUCAUCAGUUCCACAUUUAGGAAUAUACCUAAGAGAAAUGAAUUCAUAUGUCUUCCAGAAGAAAUGUACAAGUUGGCUUUUUGUUAACCCCAAAUUGGAAGCAACACCAAUGCCCACUAGUAGGAGAGUGAAUAGAUUGUAGCAUAUUUAUACAACAGAAUAUUGCACAGAAAUAAAAAAGAACAAACAGCUGACACAACUGAUAUCACAAUGUUUUUUGAGUGAAAGAAGCCAGACACAAAAAGAUUGUAUGCUCUAUGAUUCCAUUGAUGUAAAGUUCAAGAACGGGGAAACUAGUCUGUGAUGAUAUAGAACAGGGAUAACUUUGGGUGAGGAAGUAGUGACUGGGAGGAGGGAAAUGUUCUGUAUCUCAUUCUGAGUGGCAACUUCGUAGCUGUAUACACUUGCAAAAAUCCAUCAGGCUGUUAAUUUAAGAUCAGUGCACUUCAAAAUCAAAAUGAGAUGUCACUUCAUAACCACCAGGAA